AAGUGUGGAAAAUCAAGGAAAACAAGUGAAAAAGGUGGUGAGUCCUCCGAUAUAGGCAAGAAAAUUGCAUCCGAGGACUAGUAGUCAGAGUACCUCAAAAAUCUGCACUCUAGAAUUAUAAGUGAUCAGCCUAGCAUGCAUUCAUCGGCAUCUAUUGUCUACUGUGGAUAGGUAAAGGCAUCUCAUAGCAUUUUAUCCCAAGUCGCUUUGCUGCUAGAGGUCGAGUCAUUUGUAAUGUAUUUUAUUUUCGUAAAUGGACACUAGUCUCAAUAUAAAUGUACAAUUGG